CUUUCCUUGUGGCUGGCUAGAUAAAAUUUGAUUGUAAAAUAAAUAUUUUAUUUUUCAUAUUAAUUUGGCUGGACAAAUUUUCAUUUAUAACAGGAAUAUCCUGCCGGAGCCAGUGCUGCAUCACCCGUAAUUCUAAUGGCUUCUUCCUGCCAGGAUUCCUUGUACCAUGAACUGACUGAUGCUGAAAGAACUGAAGUGCACAACAACCAAAGUGGAAAUUCCAGAAGAGUUUCGCAAAUUCUGCCUUUGAGAGAUGCAAAUAUCACAGCAGUGGCAGUUGAAAUCCUGGCUGCAGGGAUUAACACCUGAACUGGAAAUAGUGGCAGUUGUGGAAGCCACCUGGAAUAUCUACACUCUGACUAUUUGGGAGAUUCCUGUGGUGCCACCCAGUGUGAGCACUGAUAUUUGGACCUGUUGUGCUUUAUAGAAGUUUACAGCUUCAAAUGACUUCAAACAGGUACAAUACUCUGCUGCACUGGUAUUGAGGUGGUGUGGUUGAGUUCAAGACACCCCAUUUAUCCACACAUUCUCAGGGAUUCCUUGGCUAUCCCAAGUCCUGUCUGUUUUAUCUAUUGUUUCUCACCAGUGUGAAUCUUUCGGGUUUUUUAAAUGCUUUUAAUCUAACUGAACCAAGUCCCUCAUACAGACAAGUUAUAAUGCAACAGUGCUUUUAUUUGAAGAAAUUAAUGAGUCCCCUUAGCCCAGCUCCUAACACAAAAUGUACUUGAUUGACUUCUCCUCUGGCACCUUUUUCAGUUUGAUACUGCAAGUCUGAUCCUCCAGACUUUACUACUGACUUACUACUGUGACAAACAACAGCAGAAUGAGAUACUGCAUUGAUAUAAAUCCUUAGAGUUUGAAUUUUUUUUUUUGGGGGGAGGUGAAAAGAGAUAUUUAUAUUACUUUUGGCAAAAAACCACAUUGUAAUUUUUCUUCUCUUAUCCAAAACCAUCUUCUUUUGAUAAACUGUGCAUUUCUCCAAGUAAAAAUGCUAUGGUUUUCCUUCAGAAUAGAAGUAUCUGCAAAUAUAUGUGAAACCCAUAAAUACACCACUAACAGAGUGUUAACACUUUUGUUUUGAGGUAAAUCGUAUCCAUUCCCAUGAAACUGCAAAUUAUAAACAAUAUAUACAUAAAUAUGCAUAUUUUAUAUCUAAUCCUCUAAAUAUGAAUGAUGUUGGAUGUACACACCAUGGCUUUUAUCCAUGAUAGGAGCUGUGUGCUACUGUACAAAACUGGCACAGGGCUGGCAAAACACUGACUUUAGAGUGAGCACCAGCACAGAAUUCCUGGACUGUCCAUUCGGUGUCAGACAAUAAAUUAGCAUUUUGAAAAAUCCCUUAAAUAUCACAAUUUAUUACUUUACUCAGUGCUCCUGCAUCUCACCAAACCAAUUGGAAAGUAACUGAAGGAGGUGUAGAACAGCCUGACUUUUUGGGUGCAUAUUGUUCUUUCUCAGCCCUGCUAACCUGUCUUGAAGGGACAGUGACCCCUCUCUAACUUGGCCAUAAGUAAUGGGGAGGUUUCAGCUGGGUCAGAGCUUGGCAGGGUGGAAUGUGCAGACGUGCCCUGGGAGCUUGGCUCACCCAACAUGCAGCCCUUCAUUAGGAGUGGCUUCUCCCUUCCUCAGUGCCUUUCCCCUGCUUGUACCUCAGAGGAGAGGGAAGGGAAGCACCUCCACACAAAUGAGUCUCUUCUCUCCACACUUACCUGAGUUUGGUGGUGAUGAUGUGGUCGUGUUCUGUUUCCUUUUGUCCUGAAGGCACAUCAGCUCUAGUGAGGCUGCAAUGGCCUCUGGAACUGAUGGGCUUUGAGAUGAUUUUAGAGCUGGAUCCUCCUAAGAUAACCAAACCUCUUCCCCUGGUUUCCAAUGUAUCAUCUCAAUAAAGAUGAUAAUUCAUGUUAUGACUGAUGAGGAUGAGACAUGGAGUGGUUUUGUUUCCCAGGCUGAAAAGUGCAUGAUCAGCUCCUGAAGGAGUGCUGGUGUGUUGUUCUGGAAAGAUUUUGUGUCUAGAAUCAUCCACCUCUUCAUCCCUGCCAGCCUGGGAUUCUCCCUCCUGAGGGCAGGGGGGGCUUGGUGCUGCCCUGCUGAACUAGAGCUGAAGCACAUGGACAGAAUAGGAGGGUUCCUUGUACCCCCUGGUCAGUUAAACUGUUUGGGAUGGUGAUCCAGCACCUCCCAGCACCCUUAAAUGCACUGCACUGACACAGGGUACAGGGCUGGGAAGGAGCAGUGGUAAGGCCAGUUUAGGAUUGUGCACAGCACCCUCUGUAAUCCUUUGGUCUUCAAAUGAUUGCAGCAAAGCAUUUCAAGCACCAAAUCAACUUAAUGCAUGUUUCUGAUAUCCUUCCAUUCUCAGUCCCUUGGAUUAUGCAGUCUCUUUAUCCAGAGAAGGUGAGUGACAGAUGUCAGGAAGGAGCAGAUACACAAAAUCAGUACAAUGAUCCAUGAUUUUGUUGAUUCUGCCUUUAUGAACAGUUCCUGUUUGAAGAUGGUUUAGUCUGGCCAAGACUGACCAGCUGGACUCUGCCCUUGCUGCUACUCUGAGAAAUAAAUCUCUGGAAAUCAGAAGAAACUGCACUGCUUGUUUCUGUGGCACAGGAAAGGAGAAAGAGAGGUGUAGAACAA